rnacentral:rRNA from 1 species
UACGAAGGGAGCGAGCGUUGUUCGGAAUCACUGGGCUUAAAGCGUGCGUAGGUGGAUAUGUAAGUAAGAAGUGAAAUCCCUGGGCUUAACCCAGGAACUGCUUUUUAGACUGCAUGUCUGGAAUUCGGUAGAAGGUUAGUGGAAUAUCCAGUUGUAGAGGUGAAAUUCGCAGAUAUUGGAUGGAACACCAGUGGCGAAGGCGACUAACUGGACCGA